AUGGCCACAUCACGUUGAAAUACCUUUUCCCAUGCGAUCACCGAAGUUAAGCAACGUCGAUCCUGGUCAGUACUUAGAUGAUGACCGCUUGAGAAUACCAGGUGCUGUAAG